UACGUAGGGUGCGAGCGUUUGUCCGGAAUUAUUGGGCGUAAAGGGCUCGUAGGCGGUUUGUCGCGUCGGGAGUGAAAACCAUGGGCUUAACUCAUGGCUUGCUUCCGAUACGGGCAGACUAGAGGUAUGCAGGGGAGAACGGAAUUCCUGGUGUAGCGGUGAAAAUGCGCAGAUAUCAGGAGGAACACCGGUGGCGAAGGCGGUUCUCUGGGCAUUACCUGACGUGAGGAGCGAAAGUGUGGGGAGCGAACAGG
rnacentral:rRNA from 1 species